rnacentral:snoRNA from 1 species
UCCCCCUAGCAAUAGGCAAAGAGACACCUAAAGAGGUGUUUUUUUUUAUCAGUCAGGGGCAAAGCAAAUGACAGUCCUUUGUUCAUCCUAACUGGAUGCCUGGCUUGGUGACCAAAGCUUUAUUAUGCCUAGGACAGAGAA